GAAAUGCGAUAAGUAAUGUGAAUUGCAGAAUUCAGUGAAUCAUCGAAUCUUUGAACGCACAUUGCGCCCGCCAGUAUUCUGGCGGGCAUGCCUGUUCGAGCGUCAUUUCAACCCUCAAGCCCCCGCUUGGUGUUGGGUGCCGGCGCCGGCGCCUGCGAGUCUCUCGCAGCAGCGCCCGCCGCCCCCGAAAUUGAUUGGCGGUCUCGUCGCGACCUCCCUUGCGUAGUAACAUACCACCUCGCAUGGCGGAGCGCGGCGCGGCCACGCCGUAAAACAACCCAAUCUCUUAGAGUUGACCUCGGAUCAGGUAGGAAUACCCGCUGAACUUAA
rnacentral:misc_RNA from 1 species